rnacentral:rRNA from 1 species
GCUUAUGCGUUGUUGGGUAGGGGAGCGUUCUGUAAGCCUGCGAAGGUGUGCUGUGAGGCAUGCUGGAGGUAUCAGAAGUGCGAAUGCUGACAUAAGUAACGAUAAAGCGGGUGAAAAGCCCGCUCGCCGGAAGACCAAGGGUUCCUGUCCAACGUUAAUCGGGGCAGGGUGAGUCGACCCCUAAGGCGAGGCCGAAAGGCGUAGUCGAUGGGAAACAGGUUAAUAUUCCUGUACUUGGUGUUACUGCGAAGGGGGGACGGAGAAGGCUAUGUUGGCCGGGCGACGGUUGUCCCGGUUUAAGCGUGUAGGCUGGUUUUCCAGGCAAAUCCGGAAAAUCAAGGCUGAGGCGUGAUGACGAGGCACUACGGUGCUGAAGCAACAAAUGCCCUGCUUCCAGGAAAAGCCUCUAAGCAUCAGGUAACAUCAAAUCGUACCCCAAACCGACACAGGUGGUCAGGUAGAGAAUACCAAGGCGCUUGAGAGAACUCGGGUGAAGGAACUAGGCAAAAUGGUGCCGUAACUUCGGGAGAA